UAGCCACAGUGGGGCCCACAUCAACGGGCCCUGUACAGGGGGAUAACUAGUCGAAAGACUAGCUAAUACCGCAUACGACCUGAGGGUGAAAGUGGGGGACCGCAAGGCCUCAUGCUAUAGGAGCGGCCGAUGUCUGAUUAGCUAGUUGGUGGGGUAAAGGCCCACCAAGGCGACGAUCAGUAGCUGGUCUGAGAGGACGAUCAGCCACACUGGGACUGAGACACGGCCCAGACUCCUACGGGAGGCAGCAGUGGG
rnacentral:rRNA from 1 species